GGGUUGUGAGGUUAAGCGACUAAGCGUACACGGUGGAUGCCCUGGCAGUCAGAGGCGAUGAAGGGCGUGCUAAUCUGCGAUAAGCGCCGGUAAGGUGAUAUGAACCGUUAUAACCGGCGAUACCCGAAUGGGGAAACCCAGUGUGACUCGUCACACUAUCAUUAACUGAAUCCAUAGGUUAAUGAGGCGAACCGGGGGAACUGAAACAUCUAAGUACCCCGAGGAAAAGAAAUCAACCGAGAUUCCCCCAGUAGCGGCGAGCGAACGGGGAGGAGCCCAGAGCCUGAAUCAGCAUGUGUGUUAGUGGAAGCGUCUGGAAAGGCGCGCGAUACAGGGUGACAGCCCCGUACACAAAAGCGCAUGUGCUGUGAGCUCGAUGAGUAGGGCGGGACACGUGGUAUCCUGUCUGAAUAUGGGGGGACCAUCCUCCAAGGCUAAAUACUCCUGACUGACCGAUAGUGAACCAGUACCGUGAGGGAAAGGCGAAAAGAACCCCGGCGAGGGGAGUGAAAAAGAACCUGAAACCGUGUACGUACAAGCAGUGGGAGCACAGGUUUAUGGGGUGACUGCGUACCUUUUGUAUAAUGGGUCAGCGACUUAUAUUCUGUAGCAAGGUUAACCGAAUAGGGGAGCCGGAGGGAAACCGAGUCUUAACCGGGCGUUAAGUUGCAGGGUAUAGACCCGAAACCCGGUGAUCUAGCCAUGGGCAGGUUGAAGGUUGGGUAACACUAACUGGAGGACCGAACCGACUAAUGUUGAAAAAUUAGCGGAUGACCUGUGGCUGGGGGUGAAAGGCCAAUCAAACCGGGAGAUAGCUGGUUCUCCCCGAAAGCUAUUUAGGUAGCGCCUCGUGAAUUCAUCUCCGGGGGUAGAGCACUGUUUCGGCUAGGGGGCCAUCCCGGCUUACCAACCCGAUGCAAACUGCGAAUACCGGAGAAUGUUAUCACGGGAGACACACGGCGGGUGCUAACGUCCGUCGUGAAGAGGGAAACAACCCAGACCGCCAGCUAAGGUCCCAAAGUCAUGGUUAAGUGGGAAACGAUGUGGGAAGGCCCAGACAGCCAGGAUGUUGGCUUAGAAGCAGCCAUCAUUUAAAGAAAGCGUAAUAGCUCACUGGUCGAGUCGGCCUGCGCGGAAGAUGUAACGGGGCUAAACCAUGCACCGAAGCUGCGGCAGCGACACUAUGUGUUGUUGGGUAGGGGAGCGUUCUGUAAGCCUGUGAAGGUGGCCUGUGAGGGUUGCUGGAGGUAUCAGAAGUGCGAAUGCUGACAUAAGUAACGAUAAAGCGGGUGAAAAGCCCGCUCGCCGGAAGACCAAGGGUUCCUGUCCAACGUUAAUCGGGGCAGGGUGAGUCGACCCCUAAGGCGAGGCCGAAAGGCGUAGUCGAUGGGAAACGGGUUAAUAUUCCCGUACUUGGUGUUACUGCGAAGGGGGGACGGAGAAGGCUAUGUUGGCCGGGCGACGGUUGUCCCGGUUUAAGCGUGUAGGUGUGUGUUCCAGGUAAAUCCGGUUCACUUUAACACUGAGGCGUGACGACGAGGCACUACGGUGCUGAAGCAACAAAUGCCCUGCUUCCAGGAAAAGCCUCUAAGCAUCAGGUAACAUCAAAUCGUACCCCAAACCGACACAGGUGGUCAGGUAGAGAAUACCAAGGCGCUUGAGAGAACUCGGGUGAAGGAACUAGGCAAAAUGGUGCCGUAACUUCGGGAGAAGGCACGCUGACACGUAGGUGAAGUGAUUUACUCACGGAGCUGAAGUCAGUCGAAGAUACCAGCUGGCUGCAACUGUUUAUUAAAAACACAGCACUGUGCAAACACGAAAGUGGACGUAUACGGUGUGACGCCUGCCCGGUGCCGGAAGGUUAAUUGAUGGGGUCAGCGCAAGCGAAGCUCCUGAUCGAAGCCCCGGUAAACGGCGGCCGUAACUAUAACGGUCCUAAGGUAGCGAAAUUCCUUGUCGGGUAAGUUCCGACCUGCACGAAUGGCGUAAUGAUGGCCAGGCUGUCUCCACCCGAGACUCAGUGAAAUUGAACUCGCUGUGAAGAUGCAGUGUACCCGCGGCAAGACGGAAAGACCCCGUGAACCUUUACUAUAGCUUGACACUGAACAUUGAGCCUUGAUGUGUAGGAUAGGUGGGAGGCUUUGAAGUGUGGACGCCAGUCUGCAUGGAGCCGACCUUGAAAUACCACCCUUUAAUGUUUGAUGUUCUAACGUGGACCCGUAAUCCGGGUUGCGGACAGUGUCUGGUGGGUAGUUUGACUGGGGCGGUCUCCUCCUAAAGAGUAACGGAGGAGCACGAAGGUUGGCUAAUCCUGGUCGGACAUCAGGAGGUUAGUGCAAUGGCAUAAGCCAGCUUGACUGCGAGCGUGACGGCGCGAGCAGGUGCGAAAGCAGGUCAUAGUGAUCCGGUGGUUCUGAAUGGAAGGGCCAUCGCUCAACGGAUAAAAGGUACUCCGGGGAUAACAGGCUGAUACCGCCCAAGAGUUCAUAUCGACGGCGGUGUUUGGCACCUCGAUGUCGGCUCAUCACAUCCUGGGGCUGAAGUAGGUCCCAAGGGUAUGGCUGUUCGCCAUUUAAAGUGGUACGCGAGCUGGGUUUAGAACGUCGUGAGACAGUUCGGUCCCUAUCUGCCGUGGGCGCUGGAGAACUGAGGGGGGCUGCUCCUAGUACGAGAGGACCGGAGUGGACGCAUCACUGGUGUUCGGGUUGUCAUGCCAAUGGCACUGCCCGGUAGCUAAAUGCGGAAGAGAUAAGUGCUGAAAGCAUCUAAGCACGAAACUUGCCCCGAGAUGAGUUCUCCCUGAGACUACGAGUCUCCUGAAGGAACGUUGAAGACGACGACGUUGAUAGGCCGGGUGUGUAAGCGCAGCGAUGCGUUGAGCUAACCGGUACUAAUGAACCGUGAGGCUUAACCUUACAACGCCGAAG
rnacentral:rRNA from 1 species